AUCUGCCUUCAGGUCGGGGACAACAGAGGGAAACUUCUGCUAAUCCCGGAUGAGCCUUAGGGUAAAAGAUUAAUUGCCUGGAGAUGAGCUCGCGUCUGAUUAGCUAGUUGGUAAGGUAAAGGCUUACCAAGGCAACGAUCAGUAGCUGGUCUGAGAGGAUGAGCAGCCACACUGGGACUGAGACACGGCCCAGACUCCUACGGGAGGCAGCAGUGGGGAAUUUUCCGCAAUGGGCGAAAGCCUGACGGAGCAAGACCGCGUGGGGGAGGAAGGCUUUAGGGUUGUAAACCCCUUUUCUUUGGGAAGAAGUUCUGACGGUACCAAAGGAAUCAGCCUCGGCUAACUCCGUGCCAGCAGCCGCGGUAAUACGGAGGAGGCAAGCGUUAUCCGGAAUGAUUGGGCGUAAAGCGUCCGCAGGUGGCAAUGUAAGUCUGCUGUCAAAACCCAGGGCUCAACUCUGGUCAGGCAGUGGAAACUACAUAGCUAGAGUUCGGUAGGGGCAAAGGGAAUUCCCGGUGUAGCGGUGAAAUGCGUAGAGAUCGGGAAGAACAUCGGUGGCGAAAGCGCUUUGCUAGACCGAAACUGACACUCAGGGACGAAAGCUAGGGGAGCGAAUGGG
rnacentral:rRNA from 1 species